UCUGCGACAUCAAAGUCAAUAAAAACAGGGACUCUAUUCACGUUCUGCCGGGAGUUUACAAGGAAAAAGUUCAAGUGAACAAGACUGACAUCGCUCUGAUAGACGAUUAUGCUGGCACCACCAUAAUUACUGGUAACAAAAGUAACGCAUCAGGGCAUCAAACUUAUGACACUACUAGAAUGUGUAAGCUUCAUCAGCUGUGCCUUAACGAAUUCUCAAUCCUUCUUUUGCAAGCAUGAAUAAGAAAUAUUUGUUUGCAGUUUGUUUUGCUGGAUAUGGAUUUAUUGC
rnacentral:lncRNA from 1 species